rnacentral:rRNA from 1 species
UAGGGAAUCUUCGGCAAUGGGGGCAACCCUGACCGAGCAACGCCGCGUGAGUGAAGAAGGUUUUCGGAUCGUAAAGCUCUGUUGUAAGAGAAGAACGUGUGUGAGAGUGGAAAGUUCACACAGUGACGGUAACUUACCAGAAAGGGACGGCUAACUACGUGCCAGCAGCCGCGGUAAUACGUAGGUCCCGAGCGUUGUCCGGAUUUAUUGGGCGUAAAGCGAGCGCAGGCGGUUUAAUAAGUCUGAAGUUAAAGGCAGUGGCUUAACCAUUGUUCGCUUUUGAAACUGUUGAACUUGAGUGCAGAAGGGGAGAGUGGAAUUCCAUGUGUAGCGGUGAAAUGCGUAGAUAUAUGGAGGAACACCGGUGGCGAAAGCGGCUCUCUGGUCUGUAACUGACGCUGAGGCUCGAAAGCGUGGGGAGCAAACAGG